CCUACGGGUGGCAGCAGUGAGGAAUAUUUGUCAAUGGACGCAAGUCUGAACCAGCCAUGCCGCGUGCAGGAAGACGGCUCUAUGAGUUGUAAACUGCUUUUGUACGUGGGUAAACGCAGAUACGUGUAUAUGUCUGAAAGUCUCGCAAGAAUCAGGCUCGGCGAACUCCGUGCCAGCAGACGCGGUAAUACGGAGGAUUCAAGCGUUAUCCGGAUUUAAUGGGUUUAACGGGUGCGUAGGCGGUCGGUUAAGUUAGAGGUGAAAUCCCGAGGCGCAACUGUGGAAUUGUCUCUGAUACUGUUCGGCUAGAGAGUAGUAGCGGUAGGCGGAAUGUAUGGUGUAGCGGUGAAAUGCUGAGAGAUCAGACAGAACACCGAGUGCGAAGGCAGCUUACCAAGCUACUUCUGACGUUGAGGCACGAAAGCGUGGGGAGCAAACAGGAUUAGAUACCCGAGUAGUC
rnacentral:rRNA from 1 species